AUUGAACGCUGGCGGCAUGCUUUACACAUGCAAGUCGAACGGUAACAGGCCGCAAGGUGCUGACGAGUGGCGAACGGGUGAGUAAUGCAUCGGACCGUGCCCAGUCGUGGGGGAUAACGCAGCGAAAGCUGCGCUAAUACCGCAUACGAUCGCUGGGUGAAAGCGGGGGACCGAAAGGCCUCGCGCGAUUGGAGCGGCCGAUGUCAGAUUAGGUAGUUGGUGGGGUAAAGGCCCACCAAGCCAACGAUCAGUAGCUGGUCUGAGAGGACGUCCAGCCACACUGGGACUGAGACACGGCCCAGACUCCUACGGGAGGCAGCAGUGGGGAAUUUUGGACAAUGGGCGCAAGCCUGAUCCAGCAAUGCCGCGUGCAGGAAGAAGGCCUUCGGGUUGUAAACUGCUUUUGUACGGAGCGAAACGGUCCGGGUUAAUACCCUGGGCUAAUGACGGUACCGUAAGAAUAAGCACCGGCUAACUACGUGCCAGCAGCCGCGGUAA
rnacentral:rRNA from 1 species